CUGUGACGUCACAGGAUCGCGCCCGCUUGUCUCUCGGGUGAUCCGGCCGAGUGGCCCUGGGUUAGCAGCUGCUGCAUUUCCCCGGCCGGCUGCUUUCACUGGUGUCACUGCUCAGGCGCCCGCCGCCCUUGGCCUUCGGCCCCGCGAGCCCUAACCCUACAGCGCAGGAAGAUCGGCCGCCGCGGCCAGGCUCUGAUGCUGGUGUCUGGUAAAAGAAGGUUACUCACAGCUCUGCUGCAGGCUCAGAAGUGGCCCUUUCAACCCUCCAGAGACAUGAGACUAGUGCAGUUCCAGGCACCCCACCUGGUGGGGCCUCACUUGGGCCUGGAGACAGGGAAUGGUGGAGGCGUUAUCAACCUCAAUGCCUUCGACCCCACACUCCCGAAGACGAUGACGCAGUUCCUAGAGCAGGGAGAGGCCACCCUCUCAGUGGCAAGAAGAGCCUUGGCUGCCCAGUUGCCAGUCCUACCACGGUUGGAGGUAACCUUCCUGGCUCCAGUCACACGGCCAGAUAAGGUGGUGUGUGUGGGCAUGAAUUAUGUGGACCACUGCAAAGAACAGAACGUGCCCGUGCCCAAGGAGCCCAUCAUCUUCAGCAAGUUUGCCAGCUCCAUCGUGGGGCCCUAUGAUGAGGUGGUCCUCCCACCACAGAGCCAGGAGGUAGAUUGGGAAGUGGAGCUGGCUGUGGUCAUUGGAAAGAAAGGCAAGCACAUCAAGGCCACAGAUGCCAUGGCCCACGUGGCCGGCUUCACUGUGGCUCAUGACGUGAGUGCUCGUGACUGGCAAAUGAGACGUAAUGGGAAACAAUGGCUGCUGGGAAAAACCUUCGACACCUUCUGCCCUCUGGGCCCUGCCUUGGUGACCAAGGACAGUGUAGCAGAUCCACACAACUUAAAGAUCUGCUGCCGAGUGAAUGGGGAAGUGGUCCAGAGCAGCAACACCAACCAGAUGGUAUUCAAGACAGAGGACCUGAUAGCCUGGGUCUCCCAGUGAGUGACAGGGGCUGUCCUGCCAGCCCUGCUCCACCUGCCACACAUGUGGAGGCUGACCUGAGCCCUCCACCUUUGGCUGUGGCCACCUCAGCCAGCCCCUGGUCUCACCGGGUCCUUCUGCUUUGAUCCAGGUCUCUGAAGGUCCAGAUAGCACUGAUGGCAAGCUUUGGGUCUGCACACUCUGGAAAGAAGAGAGAAGUGAAGGCUCUAGGUAGGGAGGACAAGGAGACACUGGGCACAGGCUUCUCUCCUCUUGUUUAAAGAAGCCCAGGGAGGGAUAGAGCUCCGACUGGACAGAAGACUGUACUCUGCAGCCCGCCUUCCUAGAGUUGGGUUGUCACUGUCCGGCAGGGGGCAGCAGCCACCAGCAAACACCACUGCCUGCAGGAGCCUGGGCUGACUGGUUGGGACUCACCAGGAAGAAAGAUCCCUUCUUCCUGGGCGGUGGCCUGCAGGAACUGGAACAGCUGUUGGAGAGGAGAAGAAAAAGAAGACAUCAAAAAGAAAAUCUAGUGCUGGGUGGAUAUAGAGUAUGAAGAUGUGGAGCUGGGAAAACAGAGGACGUGGUGGGAUGGGGAAGGAAAGGUUGUGGAAGGCCUACAUCCCAUCUCAGUUCCUCCACUGCUUCGUCCCAGAUUCUGUUUUUGUUUUCCUGAAUCAGACUUAGUCUCCCUCCAUUCUCCCGUCCCCUGUGUGCCCCCAUCCUGGUCCUGCCUCACUGGACAGCCUCUCCGCGGCCUUCCUCCUCCCUGCUCCAGAAUUCUACUUGGUGCCCCCCAACCCCACUCGACUCAUUGUCCACCUGGCCUCUGAGGCCAGGCACCCUCAUUCCCCUCUCCCACCCACCCCACCCAAGGAAGCCCAGCACAGACCAUCUCAGCUCACUCCACCGUCACUUCUUUGCCAAAUGCAUUUCCAAACACCCUCAUGAGCUUUGCUGAUCUCUUUGCCAUCUCUCCCUGCCCCACUCCGAGGGCUCCUCCUGCCUGGUGAAGACUGCCCUGGGUACCCCAGAACUGAACCUGCAGCAGCCAGCACAGCUGACCUUGGGGCGAUAAGCAGCCAGGGAAAGGCUUUCUUUAAAAAAACACAAAAAACAAAACCAAUAACUCAGUAAGCAGAUUAAACAAAGUAGAGACGGAGCCCUCCACCCCUCUCACACACACACUCAUCCUCACACACAGCUAUACCACACCCCACAAAUGUUGCUUAUGUUUCUUUGGUCAUUCUGUCCAUCCUCCUGUCUGUCCAAAGCCAAGGACACUGCUCUACUCUAAAUUUUUUGUCCCGAAGCCCCCAAACACUGCAACCCUGACCCAAUGCACGAAGCCACCCCAAAAUACAGCAGAGGACACCAGGACUUUCAUUUUCCCUCAGUAUGGCCCAUCCUUUGGGUAUGCCAACUCCAUGGCCACCAAGCACUGCAUGUGGGACAGGGCACAGUUUGGAGGCCUUGGUCCAGCCACACUGCCCCAGACCCACCUUGGCUCUCUCCUCACUAACACCCGAGAAGCCCAAACUUCCCAGUGUUUAGCAACAGAUUAAACUCUAAGCCAACAACAACAGAAUGGGGUGGAGUGAGUGGAAAGCAAAUGAAAUGUUAAAAAAAAAUUAAGCAAUACUUGCAUUCUCAUUAGUAGGAACAUGUGAGAUGAAGCACGUUAUGUUAUUAGGCAUUCUCUUGAUUCAGUAAACACAAGCUGAAUAAAUUUAUAAAUAUCAGCAUUAAGCGAGAUUUAAUGGGGAGCUGUUUAUCUUCUGCCUGUCAGGCAGGUGGCAACACUCUCCAUGUAUCACUCGCCAGUCGUGCAGUCCUCACUCUCUUGCCCAGGUAAGCUGGGGAAGAGUCUGCUGCCGCCCAGCUCUGGUUGUGGAAGGGCUGGCACCAAGGAGCUUCGAGCUUACCUCACCUCAUCUCACCUCACCAUGCCGGCUGCGAGGCGGCCCGUGCAGUCCGUGCUCAGGAGGUCACACUCCCAUGCUGCAUCCCAGCCCCUCCAGCAGCAGAGCAUGUCCUGGGUGACUUUGAGGAUGCUAUUUAACCUCUCUAAGCUAAAGCUCCUCAACUGCAGCAUCAACAGAUCAGUGCCAACCUGUUAAGGCCGUCGAGAGCAUCAAAUGCUACUGUUCAGCAGGUGCCUGACACAUAGUAGGUCCACAAGCAAAUGAUUUUCCUGCUUGCAUCAUUUCUAGCACAGAGCUGGAGGAAAUGGUGAGGUGCAGAUGGCCGCUGGGCCCUGCUGUUCUACAUGGGAGCAAGAAAGCUGCUAGGUGAAGGGGAGUGACCAGGCAGCCACAGGGAGGACAUGUGGCCUCAGGAAGCCUGGGUGUGUAUCCUGGUUCUGCUAGGAAAACGUGUGGGGCUUUGUGUGGGUGACUCUCUGGCUUCCCAAGCCUCAAGUGCCUCUGAGGCCAAAGCCUUUGUGGCAAUUGUCAAAUGAGUCCAUAUGCAGUGAGUAUCAUGUUGAGGGAGGACAAGGUCACCAAGAGCUGAGAAUGUUUCUCCGAGUGAUGAGACCUAGAUAUUGGGUACAUGGAGGUUCCCGGUCCCUUUGUGAUGCCUGCAGCCUGUUGCCUCCUUGCCUGGACCCUGCCCCAGCUCAGAAAGCCAAUUUCCUAGAUUCCAAAGGCCUUCCCAGACCAAUUAGCAUGUCCUGCAGCUGUCAGCUCCCUGUGCCUUGCCUGGACCUCAGCCCAUGUCUAGCACGCAGUUCCCAACCCCACACAUAUUCACAAAUAAAAGAAAAUAACAGAUGACAUAAA